UAGGGAAUCUUCGGCAAUGGGGGGAACCCUGACCGAGCAACGCCGCGUGAGUGAAGAAGGUUUUCGGAUCGUAAAGUUCUGUUGUUAAGGAAGAACGAGUGUGAGAAUGGAAAGUUCAUACUGUGACGGUACUUAACCAGAAAGGGACGGCUAACUACGUGCCAGCAGCCGCGGUAAUACGUAGGUCCCGAGCGUUGUCCGGAUUUAUUGGGCGUAAAGCGAGCGCAGGCGGUUAGAUAAGUCUGAAGUUAAAGGCAGUGGCUCAACCAUUGUAGGCUAUAGAAACUGUUUAACUUGAGUGCAGAAGGGGAGAGUGGAAUUCCAUGUGUAGCGGUGAAAUGCGUAGAUAUAUGGAGGAACACCGGUGGCGAAAGCGGCUCUCUGGUCUGUAACUGACGCUGAGGCUCGAAAGCGUGGGGAGCGAACAGG
rnacentral:rRNA from 1 species